GACGAACGCUGGCGGCGUGCCUAAUACAUGCAAGUAGAACGCUGAAGGAGGAGCUUGCUUCUCUGGAUGAGUUGCGAACGGGUGAGUAACGCGUAGGUAACCUGCCUGGUAGCGGGGGAUAACUAUUGGAAACGAUAGCUAAUACCGCAUAAUAGUAGAUGUUGCAUGACAUUUGCUUAAAAGGUGCAAUUGCAUCACUACCAGAUGGACCUGCGUUGUAUUAGCUAGUUGGUGGGGUAACGGCUCACCAAGGCGACGAUACAUAGCCGACCUGAGAGGGUGAUCGGCCACACUGGGACUGAGACACGGCCCAGACUCCUACGGGAGGCAGCAGUAGGGAAUCUUCGGCAAUGGACGGAAGUCUGACCGAGCAACGCCGCGUGAGUGAAGAAGGUUGUCGGAUCGGAAAGCUCUGUUGUAAGAGAAGAACGAGUGUGAGAGUGGAAAGUUCACACUGUGACGGUAUCUUACCAGAAAGGGACGGCUAACUACGUG
rnacentral:rRNA from 1 species